rnacentral:rRNA from 1 species
UGGCGGACGGGUGAGUAAUGUCUAGGGAAACUGCCUGAUGGAGGGGGAUAACUACUGGAAACGGUAGCUAAUACCGCAUAACGUCGCAAGACCAAAGAGGGGGACCUUAGGGCCUCUUGCCAUCGGAUGUGCCCAGAUGGGAUUAGCUAGUAGGUGGGGUAAAGGCUCACCUAGGCGACGAUCCCUAGCUGGUCUGAGAGGAUGACCAGCCACACUGGAACUGAGACACGGUCCAG